GAUGAAGAACGUAGCGAAAUGCGAUAAGUAGUGUGAAUUGCAGAAUUCAGUGAAUCAUCGAAUCUUUGAACGCACAUUGCGCCCCUUGGUAUCCCGAGGGGCAUGCCUGUUCGAGCGUCAUUUCACCACUCAAGCCUGGCUUGGUGUUGGGCGACGUCCUCUUUGGGGACGCGCCUCGAAACGCUCGGCGGCGUGGCACCGGCUUUAAGCGUAGCAGAAUCUUUCGCUUUGGAAGUCGGGGCCCCGUCUGCCGGAAGACCUGCUCGCAAGGUUGACCCCGGAUCAGGCAGGGAUACCCGCUGAACUUAAGCAUAUCAAUAAGCGGAGGA
rnacentral:misc_RNA from 1 species